rnacentral:tRNA from 1 species
UGCCAUGUAGUCUAGUGGUUGGGACGUCGAGCAAAUGCUCUGAAGACCCAGGUUCGACUCCUGGUGUGGUAG